AACGUACUGGGAAACUCAUCAAUUAUAUCGAAAUACCGAGACAAGCUUCUCAACCAAUGGCGGGCCUCGACGGCCAUUGGCCGGUUCGCUUCCAUUGGACGGCGACGGAGGAUUACAAAGGUUGCGGAGCACUCAAAUCCUGUCAUUCGGAGUUUCAUCACCGUCCUUUGGAGUGGC
rnacentral:sRNA from 1 species